AAGAAAGUAAGAAAGGGCGUAUGGCGGAUGCCUAGGCUCACGGAGGCGAUGAAGGACGUGAUAAGCUGCGAUAAGCUUCGGGUAGGUGCAAAUAACCCUUGAUCCGAAGAUUUCCGAAUGGGACAACCUAGCCGUCUGAAGGACGGUUACUCUUACCAAUGUAAGAGAGCUAACGCAGGGAACUGAAACAUCUUAGUACCUGCAGGAAGAGAAAAUAAAUGAAUGAUUCCCCCAGUAGUGGCGAGCGAACGGGGAACAGCCCAAACCAGUGGCGUCGCAAGGCGUGGCUGGGGUUGUAGGACCGCGACAUUGUAUGCAAAUCGUGAACAGAACACUUUGGAAAAUGUGACCAUAGACGGUGAUAGUCCAGUAUGUGAAGCGAAAUGCAGCAUAGCGGUAUCCUGAGUAACGCGGGA
rnacentral:rRNA from 1 species